GCAAGGACGUGGCUGAGGGGCAUCAAUUCUGUUGUCUCAUCAGUUGCAUAACCAAACAUGUGACCCUGGUCACCAGCACCAAUCUCCUCAGGGCGCUUCGUGAAAUGGCCAUGAACACCCUGGGCAAUGUCAGGAGACUGCUGCUCAAUGUUGACAAGCACCUUGCAGUGAUCGGCAUCAAGUCCAACAUCAUUGGAUAUGAAUCCAAUCGCCCGGCAGGUGUCACGGACUAUUUUCUCAUAGUCGACAUUGGCCUUGGUAGUGAUCUCCCCAAAGACCAUGACCAUGUUGGUCUUGGUGCAGGUUUCACAAGCAACCUUGCUGUCAGGGUCCUGUUCUAGGCAGGCAUCAAGCACAGCAUCCGAGAUCUGGUCGCAGAGCUUGUCAGGGUGUCCCUCAUUCACAGAUUCAGAGGUGAAAAGGAAGGUGUCCGAGUUGGCCAUCUGCAAUAGACCAGCAAAUUGAAAGAUCAUAUAAAUAUCCAUGGACUUUAGUUACUCUGAAACACUGACUGCUAUCUAUUAUAAUUCUGUUAUCAUAGAUUACAUGGACCACAAAAUCACAUAGAAACAAAAUCAUGGAAAUAUUAUAUCUUCAGUCCUCAUUUUGCUAAGUACUUCAACCACAUUGCUGAGUACUUUUAGCAUAUAUCCAACAGACUCCAAACAAAAACUCAGAUUAAAAUACAAAAUUAACUUCUGAUAUGGCACAAAUGUGCUUUACAUGCGGUUCACUGAUUUUAGAAUCAAGUUUGAAUAUUGGCAGGUAACAAAUAACUUCAUCAGAAUUUGUGAAAACUACAGGAUGAAAGCUGCUCAUGACCAAACACCAUAAGUAAAUUGUUCAAUAUCAAUCAAGGAUGCAUGUUCAUGAGAAGGAAUUACUGCAUACAAAAGCAGUCUGGAAUGACUCUGUGCAUGUAGUUCAUUCACCAAGAUACGAAGGAAUAAAACAAGAGAAUAUACUCCAGGAUAAUCUUUUAACAAAGCUGCUUCCACUUGAAGAUUCGUGGGAAUGAAAGCAAAUCAUUUGAAAGGAGC
rnacentral:lncRNA from 1 species